AAUGAAUUUAAGCUUCAUAUAUAAAGACCGGCCUUUUAUUAGAA
rnacentral:tRNA from 1 species